rnacentral:rRNA from 1 species
UCAAGCGAACAAGGGCGCAGGGCGAAUGCCUUGGCACUGGGAGCCGAUGAAAGACGUGAUAAGCUGCGAUAAGCUUCGGGGAGCUGCAAAUAAGCAUUGAUCCGGAGAUUUCUGAAUGAGGAAACUCACCUGGGUUCAUACUCAGGUACAAUGCACUGAAAUUUAAAAUAGGUGUAUUGAGGGAACCGCCUGAACUGAAACAUCUAAGUAGGGCGAGGAAGAGACAUCAAACGAGAUUCCGUAAGUAGUGGCGAGCGAACGCGGAAGAGGGCAAACCGAGAGUAGAAAUACUUUCGGGGUACGGACUGCUUUUAAGACUCAAUCUGUUAACCGAACGGCAUGGGAAGGCCGGUCAGAGAGUGUGAGAACCACGUAGGUGAAAACGGAGAGAGCUGCGCAGGAUCCAGAGUACGGCCAGACACGUGAAACCUGGUCGGAAUACGGGGGGACCACCCUCCAACCCUAAAUACUACCCAGUGACCGAUAGCGUAUAGUACUGUGAAGGAAAGGUGAAAAGCACCCCGGGAGGGGAGUGAAAAAGAACCUGAAACCCUGUGCCUACAAGCACCUAGAGCGCGUCAAAGCGUGAUAGGGUACUUUUUGUAGAACGGUCCGGCGAGCGAUUGUAUGCAGCAAGGUUAAGGACUUAAGGUCUGGAGCCGAAGCGAAAGCGAGUUUGAAAAGGGCGUUAAGUUGCAUAUAAUGGGCCCGAAACCGGGUGACCUACCCAUGGUCAGGUUGAAGUGGAAGUAAAAUUCCAUGGAGGACCGAACCGACCUCCGUUGAAAAGGCGGCGGAUGAACUGUGGGUAGCGGAGAAAUUCCAAUCGAACCCGGAGAUAGCUGGUUCUCCCCGAAAUAGUUUUAGGACUAGCCUCAAGUUAGAUACCUGGAGGUAAAGCACUGAAUAGCCUAGCGGCCGAGAGGUUAGCGAAGCUUAUCAAACUCAGAAUGCCAGAGUAUUGAUGCUUGGGAGUCAGACAGUGUCAGAUAAAUGUCAUUGUCAAAAGGGAAACAGCCCAGAUCUACAGCUAAGGUCCCAAAGUCAGGUUAAGUGGAAAACGAUGUGAAGAUACGCAGACAACCAGGAUGUUGGCUCAGAAGCAGCCACUCAUUCAAAGAGUGCGUAAUAGCUCACUGGUCGAGCGUCUUUGCGCGGAGAAUUUAACGGGGCUAAACCUGACACCGAAGCUUAGGCAAUGCACGUAAGUGUAUUGGGUAGGGGAGCGUUGUAUACGCGGAGAAACAGUAGCGCAAGCGGCUGUGGAGUGUAUAGAAGUGAGAAUGCCGGAAUGAGUAGCGCGAAUGCAGUGAGAAUCUGCAUGGCCGAAAGCCUCAGGUUUCUGGAGGAAGGUUCGUCCGCUCCAGGUUAGUCGGGAGCUAAGGUGAGGCCGAAAGGCGUAGCCGAUGCACAGACGGUAGAGAUUCCGUCACCACCAAAAGAGUUAAGCACAGGGACACAUAUGAAGUCUCAGAGCCGGGUGUUGGUUCCGGUAGAGAUCGAGGGAAAUUAGUACCGAAGUCUGAGAUGGAAGAUGGCGAGAAAAGCUGUGUGUAUUUCUGAGGUGCCCGUACCGCAAACCGACACAGGUAGGUAGGAAGAAGAUUCUAAGGCCAACGGGAGAAGGGUUGUUAAGGAACUCGGCAAAUUGACCCCGUAACUUCGGGAGAAGGGGUGCUCCAGAGAUGGAGCCGCAGAGAAUCGGCCCAAGCAACUGUUUACCAAAAACACAGGUUUGUGCUAAAUCGAAAGAUGACGUAUACGAGCUGACGCCUGCCCGGUGCUGGAAGGUUAAGAGGAGAUGUGCAAGCAUUGAAUCGAAGCCCCAGUGAACGGCGGCCGUAACUAUAACGGUCCUAAGGUAGCGAAAUUCCUUGUCAGGUAAG